AACAAGUUUAUACGGUGAUGAAGGUUGGAGGCUAGGUCAAGUUGAGUAUUCAUUCCUUCCGACGAUGGACCGUCACUCUCUGGACCAAUGUAAUAAUCCCUUUUCCAUUAAACUCUCUAUCUCCCCCUUACUCCAGAUCCCACUCUUUAUCUCCUUGGAUGAAGAGCUGUUGUUCUCUGAACCCUGCAACAACAUCCUGGUUACAUUAAUUUUUUAACUCCACAAAGCUUUCCAUCUCCCUCUCUUACUAUCAAAACCGUUAGCGUAAAAAGGAGCUCAGACGAUAUGGCAUACUCUGUUAUAGUUUGUCACCACGGUUAAUCCCAGAAAAUUUGAAGAUAACCUAUUUCUGAACUCCACACCGGCGACUAAAUUCUAUUUGCACACCAACAUUGCUGCCAUCGAAGCGGUCACCGCCAGGUUUGUCGCAAAUCUGACUUAAAUAUAGACAACCAACAACUUUCGCUACAGUUCCAACCCAAGCUUCUGUACUUUCGCUACCGUCUUUAGGGGAAAUUAACAUAAUGUCAAGGUUUCAGUAACAAUCUUGAUGUUUUCAUAACUUACAGACGACAAACACAAAAGCUUGUGUUUGAAGUUGAGGUAAAAUACAUAUGGGACGUGAAAUAUGCAUAUAUCUUACAUAUGCAUCUUUGAAUUAGUAUGUUUGUAACAUUUUCCCCAGUCCAUUGUAUUUCAGUCAAAUGUCAUUCACUACAACUAAUUAGAGUUUGGAGAAGCAGCUGAAAGACAUGGUGAAGCGUGGAAAGAAUCUGAAAGUGAAGGUGAGUUUUUCUUCAUUGAAUAUUUUACAUUUAACAAGGCGGCUGUUUAAAUAUUUAUUUGUUUUAAACUAUUAUAAACAUAGACAAAGCAUGUAAAGAAUGGAAAAACUGUUUCAAGCGGUUAUGAUUAUGUAGAAUCCGACUGUACAGAGAUGUCAAAUAUAUAAUAGUUUGUGACUCUGUCUCUUUGAAACUUCGCGUUAAUUGGAUUUGAGGAAGUACAGUGACACUUUUCGGUUUAAUUUCAUGAAAUUUCUAUGGAUGGGCAUGCUGUCAAGUUGAGGUUUUCUGAACACAAGCGGAGGGACACGGCUGGGAGGUUUGAGAUAAUAUUCCAAUUUCCAACAAAGUUAAAUGUGAAAUUUGUUGCUGUUGCGGCAACCGAAAGAGCUAAGAAAGCUUUUCAGCACAAUGAACACGUAAUAAUAAUUGCUGAAGUUUAGGUCUUAUGCGUCCUUUUGGGUAAAGAUUUUCGUUGCAACUUGCAAGUCACAACAAGGAGAUGUGUCAUUAGUCUUGGAUUUACUAUUCUUAGAAACAUCAAUCACAAUUAUUCAUGUUUCUUUGUGUAUGCAAAGCUUCCAAAGAGGAACAUGGAACAGUACUCAAGUAACGGUUUUGUUGGUUUCAUGCCAAAGCAAGAGACUCCAAAUGCGAGAAUGCAUGGUCGAGCACCCAUCCCUAUAGACGCCAUUUGAUGACCGAGUGGGCCAAAGAUGACAAUAGCAUGGAAGAGAAGAGGCGACGCUCAACUGGUAAGUAUAAAGAAAAUGAUCUUCCAAAGAGAAGAAGAACAGCAGAAUAACCACACCCCCUCUAUUAAAAAGUUGGUUUUAUAAGUCACCACUGUGAUCGAUAAUUCUGAGUUAUUGAACUUUUACUCUGUACUAACUUAAUAUACUGGACUAUUAAUUUAUGCUUUCUGUUUUUUUAA